rnacentral:lncRNA from 1 species
CAAUGCUGAUUUUACAUGGGAUCACGGGAUUCUACCUUCUUUGGUUUUCUCAUGUGGUUUUCCCAGCUAGUUUCGUCGUCAGAUUUGACAUUUGGAUUCUUUACGGCCUUUUCUUUUCAAAUUUUGUUAAAACUAAAUUCGAAAUAGAAAGGAUAAAAUCAUGAAAGAGUGGGAAAGAAACUGUUUUUGUGUGGAGGAGUCAUUUUAUUGUAUGUAAAAGAUUUCUAAAAAUUUGUGGAGGAAGCUUUAUUCUACGAAUGUACACAUUUUUAGGGGUAAUAAAUGAAAUUUAAAAAGUCAUUUUUAAAGCCAUGGUCAAAAUUACAAAUCUCUAGGAAAUUCUGGAUUGAUUUCAGGAUCUAAAGUUACGGUCAAAGAUUCAACAGAUUACGUUUAUAUACUUUUCUCUCGUAAACAACAGUUUUGCUUAACGACCUGCAACAAAUUAUCUUUAAUUUUAAUCUUUUGACAGUUUAUCCCUGAAGAUAAGUUGAACCCAAGUUUCAUGAAGGAAACCAUAGAGUCAUCAAAAGAUCAACACCAACUAUUUUGGAUAAAGGACUAUAUAGGGAUGUUAUGUCAGGUGGUAAGAACAUUAUAGUUUGUUUGCUAUCUAUGCUGCCAUUCUAAGUAGUAAACCUUGAAAACUACCUUCUAAACUGGUUUUAUAUUUCAGGAAGGAUUUCCACCUCAGUACUGUAUGUAGCCGAGGAAAAGUAAGAUUUACAUUCAAAAUGGAAGGUACUAACUACACAUAAAAUGGAAAAAUGGAAUGGAUAAAACAAUUUUAUUCACAGUUGUAUGAACAAAAGAGAAGAAGUACUUCCACAACAAAUGCCAGGAGCAUUUAUGUGGGAAUUGCGACUUUGAAAAGCAUAGACAACUUUUCAGUCAUCGUCGUUGUCAUUUAUUCCUUGACAACCACCUUGUCUUGUUACGGCCAACGAAAUUCGUAAGCCUUGAAGGAGUCAUUACAGUCAUAGACAUUCUGAUUCCUCUUUACGUUCCAACAGCU